AUUGAACGCUGGCGGCAGGCCUAACACAUGCAAGUCGAGCGGAUGAAGGGAUCUUGCUCCUGGAUUCAGCGGCGGACGGGUGAGUAAUGCCUAGGAAUCUGCCUGGUAGUGGGGGAUAACGUCCGGAAACGGGCGCUAAUACCGCAUACGUCCUGAGGGAGAAAGUGGGGGAUCUUCGGACCUCACGCUAUCAGAUGAGCCUAGGUCGGAUUAGCUAGUUGGUGGGGUAAAGGCCUACCAAGGCGACGAUCCGUAACUGGUCUGAGAGGAUGAUCAGUCACACUGGAACUGAGACACGGUCCAGACUCCUACGGGAGGCAGCAGUGGGGAAUAUUGGACAAUGGGCGAAAGCCUGAUCCAGCCAUGCCGCGUGUGUGAAGAAGGUCUUCGGAUUGUAAAGCACUUUAAGUUGGGAGGAAGGGCAGUAAGUUAAUACCUUGCUGUUUUGACGUUACCAACAGAAGAAGCACCGGCUAACUUCGUG
rnacentral:rRNA from 1 species